rnacentral:rRNA from 1 species
UACGUAGGUGGCAAGCGUUGUCCGGAUUUAUUGGGUUUAAAGGGUACGUAGGCGGUCGCGCAAGUCGGAUGUGAAAUCUUAGGGCUCAACCCUGAAACUGCAUUCGAUACUGGGCGGCUAGAGUCUGGUAGGGGGAUCUGGAAUUCCUGGUGUAGCGGUGGAAUGCGCAGAUAUCAGGAGGAACACCGGUGGCGAAGGCGGCCUGCUGGGCAGUGGCUGACGCUGAGGCGCGACAGCGUGGGGAGCAAACAGG